CCUACGGGUGGCAGCAGUCGAGAAUUAUUCACAAUGGGGGAAACCCUGAUGGUGCGACGCCGCGUGGGGGAAUGAAGGUCUUCGGAUUGUAAACCCCUGUCAUGUGGGAGCAAAUUAAAAAGAUAGUACCACAAGAGGAAGAGACGGCUAACUCUGUGCCAGCAGCCGCGGUAAUACAGAGGUCUCAAGCGUUGUUCGGAAUCACUGGGCGUAAAGGGUGCGGAGGCUGUUUCGUAAGUCGUGUGUGAAAGGCGCGGGCUCAACCCGCGGACGGCACAUGAUACUGCGAGACUAGAGUAAUGGAGGGGGAACCGGAAUGCUCGGUGUAGCAGUGAAAUGCGUAGAUAUCGAGAGGAACACUCGUGGCGAAGGCGGGUUCCUGGUCAUUAACUGACGCUGAGGCACGAAGGCCAGGGGAGCGAAAGGGAUUAGAUACCCGGGUAGUC
rnacentral:rRNA from 1 species